UUCAACUGCUGUCGUGGUCUUCUUCUCUCUUUUCUUCAUCAGUCGAAACUCGUAUUGAAGAUGUCGAUUAAAGGAAUUAGGAAGUUCGAUCCUGAAAACAAACAUGUUAUCACUUUCUUUAGACCUUUAAUUGUUGGUCCCAAUGGAGCUGUAAAACGGUUAAGGGGGAGACAGAAACAAAAGGGCAAAGGUUUAAGACGGCAAAGAUGUUGUAUGUAUUGGGUCAUUCCAAUUGAACAGCUCAAAAGGCUUUAAAAAUGGAGUAUAGGAAUGUUUUGCAGACUAUUAAUCCUCACACUGGCGAAGAAGGUGUUAUCAAGCGCAUCGAGGAGAAAGAAUAUGGUCAGCUUUCAAAGUAUAAUCAGUCUCAUAUUGAUGAAAAGGAGAAAAAAUGUAAACGGAGUUAGAGAAAAAGACCCUUCCGCUUGAAGAGAGAAGUUUUGAGUUCAAUAUUAACCAGAAGGAAGCUGUGAAAUUGUAGCACUUAAGCGUGAGAAGGUUCUGAGUAGUGAUUCAGAGGACAGAGUAAAGUUGGACUUGAAGAGAAUGGAACUGGAAAUCAGCCAGAAGUUGAUGUUUGACUGCCAUUUCUUAUUCUUUACUGUUUUGGCUUUUAAAAUUGACGAUUACAAGGACAAAAUAAGAGGCAUGCGGAAAGGGAAAUCACUCAAGCCAUUGGGACCCUUAAGAAAGAGUCUGAUGACCUGAACUCGAAAUCCAUUGAUGCAGAAAAGUAGGUCAAAGUGCUCCAGAAUGAAAAUUCAAGAUGUAAAAACUAAUAUUGCCAAGUUUCAGAAAGACACGGAUGGCUUUGCGUAAAGCAAUGAAAAAAAAAAAGAUAUCACAAAAAGCUUGACAGGAGUCAUGGAACAUUGGCUGUUUAUCAGAGUAAUAUUUCGAAGAACAUUGACCUUAAACAUGCUCAAUACAGUAACAUUGGCAAACGACACUUUAACCAACUGAUCCAGCUAAAGACAACUGAAAUGGCAAAUGAAGAUCUUGACCGGUAUUACAAUGUGCUUGACAAAGCACUCAUGCGUUUCCACUCAAUGGAGAUGGAGGAAAUAAAUAAGAUCGUAAGGGAAUUGUGGCAGCAAAGAUACAGGGACAGGACAUAGAUUAUAUCAGUGUUCAUUCUGACUCAGAAUGUGCAGGGACUCGUUCUUACAGCUACCGGGUCCUCGUGCAGAUUGGGGAUGCAGAACUCGAAAUGCGUGGAAGAUGUAAUGCAUGAUCAGAAGGACUCUUAUAUCCAAAUCUGACCUUUACAACUCUUGUUGAGGGUACACAGACGCUCCAGUACAUUAGACCCAAAUCCAAACACCUUUUGCAUGUGCCUAAUUUUUUUUUCUCAUUACUUAAUUGUGAAGGGAUUUUGUAUUCUGUAUCUCACUUUUUACUGCACAAGGUUUCUUUACUUUACUUGAGCUUUAUAACUUGUAUAAUUUAUUUUAAGGAAUAGAACGGUAAUGUCUGCUUGCAGGUUGAGCUGUGUAAGGGACGUACCAUGAAGACCAUGAAUUGGAAACCUGAAGAUGAUUUACUGUACAACUUGUUCCGCAGAUCCAUGAGAGCUCCAGGUGGACUGUGCAUGAUGUUUGGCAUGUUUUUUCUGGGUUAUCGGGAGCGUCAUUUGCAAGCAAAUUGUAUAUUUCCAGGGCCUGGAGUUCAAGGUUGCAAUGGAAGAAUCUUCUAGCCUGGGAGCAACAUGUUUCUACAUUGACCAAGAUAUUGUUGUACGAAUCCUUUUCUUUGUUUUCUAUUCUGUCUUCUUAAAAUGAAGACCUUAGGUAGAUACUAUACGACAUGCAUCGUGCUUCACACAUCUUCCAUCAGCAUCCUAGGUGCCUUUAACACCAAAGAUUCGAUGGUUGAGAUGAUUCCAAAUUAGACAGUAUCAAAAACUUCCAUCAACUUUCAACUUUAAUUUCAAACUGCUUAUACUUGUAAACUUAAACAGGAAAUAAAAACGAGUUUGAUUUUCUUGGAAAAUCGAUAUGUUUUUUUGCUUUACCCAGCUGAAAAAUUUGGAUAUGAUUUUGCCCUUUUUCUUUCAUGCCUGAAUGAGCUAGGGAAUGCAAAAAGCGUACUCGUUUUACAAGAAAAACUCACUCACUUUUGCUCUCA